rnacentral:rRNA from 1 species
UACGUAGGGCGCAAGCGUUGUCCGGAAUUAUUGGGCGUAAAGAGCUCGUAGGCGGUGUGUCGCGUCUGCUGUGAAAACUCGAGGCUCAACCUCGGGCUUGCAGUGGGUACGGGCACACUAGAGUGCGGUAGGGGUGACUGGAAUUCCUGGUGUAGCGGUGGAAUGCGCAGAUAUCAGGAGGAACACCGAUGGCGAAGGCAGGUCACUGGGCCGCAACUGACGCUGAGGAGCGAAAGCAUGGGGAGCGAACAGG